GGCAGCAGUGGGGAAUAUUGCACAAUGGGGGAAACCCUGAUGCAGCGACGCCGCGUGAAGGAAGAAGUAUCUCGGUAUGUAAACUUCUAUCAGCAGGGAAGAAAAUGACGGUGCCUGACUAAGAAGCCCCGGCUAACUACGUGCCAGCAGCCGCGGUAAUACGUAGGGGGCAAGCGUUAUCCGGAUUUACUGGGUGUAAAGGGAGCGUAGACGGAAGAGCAAGUCUGAUGUGAAAGGCUGGGGCUUAACCCCAGGACUGCAUUGGAAACUGUUUUUCUAGAGUGCCGGAGAGGUAAGCGGAAUUCCUAGUGUAGCGGUGAAAUGCGUAGAUAUUAGGAGGAACACCAGUGGCGAAGGCGGCU
rnacentral:rRNA from 1 species